UACAGAGACUGCGAGCGUUAUUCGGAUUCACUGGGCGUAAAGGGUGCGCAGGCGGCCAAGUGUGUGAGGCGUGAAAGCCCGGGGCUUAACCCCGGAAUUGCACCUCAAACUACAUGGCUAGAGCAUUGGAGAGGGAAGCGGAAUUCACGGUGUAGCAGUGAAAUUCGUAGAUAUCGGGAGGAACACCAGUGGCGAAGGCGGUUCUCUGGGCCUGACCUGACGCUGAGGAGCGAAAGCGUGGGGAGCGAACAGG
rnacentral:rRNA from 1 species